rnacentral:rRNA from 1 species
GCUGUUUCAUUUAAAAUUUAAUUAGAAUUUUAUUUUUUAGUUAAAAAGCUAAAAUAUAUUCAAAAGACGAGAAGACCCUAUAAAUCUUGAUUAUUUAAUAAUUUUUAGUUUAUUUUGAUUUUUUUUGUUAUAAAUUUAUUAAUUAAUUUUAUUGGGGUGAUAUUAAAAUUUAAAUAACUUUUAAUAAUUUUUAUCAUUUAUUUAUGAUUAAGUGAUCCAUUAUUAGUGAUUAAAAAAUUAAGUUACUUUAGGGAUAACAGCGUAAUUUUUUUGGAGAGUUCUUAUCGAUAAAAAAGUUUGCGACCUCGAUGUUGGAUUAAGAUUCAUAUUUAAAUGUAGAAGUUUAAAUAUAAAGUCUGUUCGACUUUUUAUUCUUACAUGAUCUGAGUUCAAACCGGUGUAAGCCAGGUUGGUUUCUAUCUUUGAUUUAGUAAAAUAUUUUAGUACGAAAGGAAUUAAUAUUUAUUUUUUAAAAAUUAAUUUAUGAAUAAAUUUAAUUACUAU